CUCCACGGCCGCCGCAGGGACCCGCCCACCAGACCCUGCGCUGGGUAGCCGGUGUGUUUGAGUGGAACGUGCCGCUGAUGACACCUGGCAGAAGGCAGCCAUGGAGGGCGAUGGCUCAGACUCGCCGGUGUCGAAUGUGCAAUUCUUCCGAAGUUUCCCGAGGAACUGCUUAAUUGAGGGAGCCGCCACAUCACACUUAAUCAGUUUGUUUCUCCCUCAAUGACAGAUGAACUAAAUUUUCUCUUGGGUUACCAUUAAGAAUAUCGAAAGGGAGCUCAUUUGCCCAGCAUGCAAGGAGCUGUUUACCCACCCAUUGAUUCUCCCUUGCCAACAUAGUAUCUGUCAUAAAUGCGUAAAAGAACUCCUGCUGACUCUUGAUGAUUCAUUCAACGAUGUGGGAUCAGACAACUCCAAUCAAAGCAGUCCUCGACUUCGGCUCCCCUCCCCUAGUAUGGAUAAAAUUGAUCGAAUUAACAGACCAGGCUGGAAGCGCAAUUCAUUGACCCCGAGGACAACUAUUUUCCCUUGCCCUGGCUGCGAGCAUGAUGUGGAUCUUGGAGAACGAGGAAUCAAUGGUCUGUUUCGAAACUUCACUUUGGAAACUAUUGUGGAAAGAUAUCGUCAGGCAGCUAGGGCAGCCACAGCCAUUAUGUGUGACCUUUGUAAACCACCACCUCAAGAAUCCACAAAAAGCUGCAUGGACUGUAGUGCAAGUUACUGCAAUGAAUGCUUCAAAAUUCAUCAUCCUUGGGGUACUAUAAAAGCUCAACAUGAGUAUGUUGGUCCAACUACUAACUUUAGACCCAAGG
rnacentral:sRNA from 1 species